CUGGGUGUGGCGCAGUUGGUAGCGUGCUACCUUGGGGUGGUAGAGGCCGCCGGUUCAAAUCCGGUCACUCAGACCA
rnacentral:tRNA from 1 species